CCCAAGCGGGAUUAGCUUGUUGGUGGGGUAAUGGCUCACCAAGGCGACGAUCUCUAGCUGUUCUGAGAGGAUGAUCAGCCACACUGGGACUGAGACACGGCCCAGACUCCUACGGGAGGCAGCAGUGGGGAAUAUUGGACAAUGGGGGCAACCCUGAUCCAGCCAUGCCGCGUGUGUGAAGAAGGCCUUCGGGUUGUAAAGCACUUUCAGUGGUGAGGAAAGGGUAAUCGUUAACAGCGAUUACAGUUGACGUUAGCCACAGAAGAAGCACCGGCUAACUCCGUGCCAGCAGCCGUGGUAAUACGGAGGGUGCAAGCGUUAAUCGGAAUUACUGGGCGUAAAGCGUACGUAGGCGGUGUGUUAAGCAAGAUGUGAAAUCCCCGGGCUCAACCUGGGAAUGGCAUUUUGAACUGGCACACUAGAGUCCUGAAGAGGGUGGUAGAAUUUCCAGUGUAGCGGUGAAAUGCGUAGAUAUUGGAAGGAAUACCAGUGGCGAAGGCGGCCACCUGGUCAGAGACUGACGCUGAGGUACGAAAGCGUGGGUAGCAAACAGGAUUAGAUACCCUGGUAGUCCACGCCGUAAACGAUGUCAACUAGUUGUUCGUGUCUUUAAGACGUGAGUAACGCAGCUAACGCACUAAGUUGACCGCCUGGGGAGUCGGCCGCAAGGUUAAAAC
rnacentral:rRNA from 1 species